rnacentral:lncRNA from 1 species
AUUCAUUAUAGAUAGAGGUAAUUUUAAAUAGCAAGAAUAUUCAGUAAAGUAAGAUCUACAAACAAGUCAUCAUCACCAAAACAGAGAAUCUUGUCGUGAAUUCUAUUCUUGUCUACAAUGCGUGUCUACCUUUUGAUAUGUACAUAGACCAAUGUGAGCGACACAGACUCUUAAGAGCCUCUAGUUAACCCUUUUAAAUAUAAAGUUUCGUUAAAAUCGCUGCAACGUCCUGCAAUAGAAAGUUCAAAUGCAUUUCUAUUUCAUGAAAAUGUCAUAACGUUGUGAUGCACAUUUUCAAUAUGUAUAUGCUUCUUACGUCUCAGAUUUUAAUCUGAUACUAAAUUUCUUUACUAUCUAUGAGUUGAAACAUCGAGAGUGUAUAUGGGAACCAGUAAGUAAACAAAAAGCUAAAUAUCUAUUAAUACCAAGGACCCCGGUAUCUCCCAAAAGUAGGCAUGGUUUGAGAAUCAGCUGUAUUUACAAUGUUCUUCCUAUUAGUACAUUUAAUGAAUUAAAAAACGAUAGAAAACAACUUUUACCACACCGAUACCUAUUUGUCAGAAGCCUUAAAAAAAAUUAAAAGAAUCACUGAAUACACUCUAAUCUUGUUGUAUACAAGUCCAUUUAAUAUCCC